CCUGGUGCCUAUGGCGAUGUGGAACCACGCCGACCCCAUCCCGAACUCGGACGUGAAACGCAUCAGCGGCGAACCUACUUGAGGGGUGACCCUCCGGUAACCUAGCUCGGUGCCAGGC
rnacentral:rRNA from 7 species